AUGGCGGACCGCGUCCACCCCGCGCCGCUGCUGCCGCUCUCCACCCCACCCGCCCCGCCACCCGACAACAGCGACGCGGCCGCGGAGAACACCCCGCUGCGCUCCACCACAGCGGCGGCGGCGCCGGGCGCGUCGUACAUCGUGCAUGUACCCAAGGACCAGGUGCUCCGGGUCCCGCCCCCGGACCGCGCGCGCAGGUACCGCAAGCUCGCCGCGCGGCCGGCGCGGCGCCGCAUGCUCCGCCGCGCCUGCUGCGGCGCGUGCUGCGCGCUCCUCCUCCUGCUCCUCCUCGCCGCCGCGUUCGUCGGCGCCGUCUACCUCGCCUUCCGCCCCCGGGCGCCCUCCUUCUCCGUCACGUCCCUCUCCGUCGCCGGCCUCCUCGACGCCUCCCCCGCGCGGCUCGAUGCCGCCGUGCGCGCGGACAACGGCGCCAACAGGAAGGUCGGCGUGGACUACCGCGCCGGCGGCGAGGUCAGGGUCUCCUACUCCGGCGUCCUCCUCGCCACGGGCCGCUGGCCGGCCUUCUACCAACCGCCGAGGAACGUGACGCUCAUCUCCAUGCCGCUCACCGGGAGGGACGGCCUGGCCCUCACGGACGACCAGAGGGCGCGGCUGGCGGAGCAGGCCGCGGCGGGCGCCGUGCCGCUGACGGUGGAGGCGCGGGUGCCGGUGCGGGUGAGGCUCGGGAAGGUGCUGCGGACGUGGACCGUGGACGUGUGGGCGCGGUGCCAGGUCACGGUGGACAGGAUCGACGGCGAGACCACGGCCGCCAACCAGGGGUGCACGGUCAAGGCCAAGCCGCUCUGGUGGUGGUGGUGA
rnacentral:rRNA from 1 species